rnacentral:SRP_RNA from 1 species
GCUGGGUGUGGUGGUGCAUGCCUGUAAUCCCUGCUACUUGGGAGGCUGAGGCAUGAGAAUCACUUGAACCCAGGAGACGGAGGUUGCAGUGAGCCGAGAUCGUGCCACUGCACUCCAGCCUGGGUGACAGAGUGAGACUCUGUCUCAA